AUGGUCAUCAGCAUCAUCGUG
rnacentral:misc_RNA from 1 species